rnacentral:rRNA from 1 species
AUGCUUAACACAUGCAAGUCGAACGGUAACAUAGCUAGCUUGCUAGCUGAUGACGAGUGGCGGACGGGUGAGUAAUGCAUAGGAAUCUGCCUAUUAGUGGGGGACAACCUGUGGAAACGCAGGCUAAUACCGCAUAAGCCCUACGGGGGAAAGCGGGGGAUCUUCGGACCUCGCGCUAAUAGAUGAGCCUAUGUCAGAUUAGCUAGUUGGUGAGGUAAUGGCUCACCAAGGCGACGAUCUGUAGCUGGUCUGAGAGGAUGAUCAGCCACACUGGGACUGAGACACGGCCCAGACUCCUACGGGAGGCAGCAGUGGGGAAUAUUGGACAAUGGGCGAAAGCCUGAUCCAGCAAUACCGCGUGUGCGAAGAAGGCCUUCGGGUUGUAAAGCACUUUCAGUUGUGAGGAAAAGUUAGUAGUUAAUACCUGCUAGCCGUGACGUUAACAACAGAAGAAGCACCGGCUAACUCCGUGCCAGCAGCCGCGGUAAUACGGAGGGUGCGAGCGUUAAUCGGAAUUACUGGGCGUAAAGCGCACGCAGGCGGUUUGUUAAGCUAAAUGUGAAAGCCCCGGGCUCAACCUGGGAUGGUCAUUUAGAACUGGCAGACUAGAGUCUUGGAGAGGGGAGUGGAAUUCCAGGUGUAGCGGUGAAAUGCGUAGAUAUCUGAAGGAACACCAGUGG